GAUAAACGCUGGCGGCGUGCCUAAUACAUGCAAGUCGAGCGAACGGACGAGAAGCUUGCUUCUCUGAUGUUAGCGGCGGACGGGUGAGUAACACGUGGAUAACCUACCUAUAAGACUGGGAUAACUUCGGGAAACCGGAGCUAAUACCGGAUAAUAUUUUGAACCGCAUGGUUCAAAAGUGAAAGACGGUCUUGCUGUCACUUAUAGAUGGAUCCGCGCUGCAUUAGCUAGUUGGUAAGGUAACGGCUUACCAAGGCAACGAUGCAUAGCCGACCUGAGAGGGUGAUCGGCCACACUGGAACUGAGACACGGUCCAGACUCCUACGGGAGGCAGCAGUAGGGAAUCUUCCGCAAUGGGCGAAAGCCUGACGGAGCAACGCCGCGUGAGUGAUGAAAGUCUUCGGAUCGUNAAACUCUGUUAUUAGGAAGAACAUAUGUGUAAGUAACUGUGCACAUCUUGACNGUACCCUAUCAGAAAGCCACGGCUAACUACGUGCCAGCAGCCGCGGUAAUACGUAGGUGGCAAGCGUUAUCCCGAAUUAUUGGCGUAAAGCGCGCGUAGCGGUUUUUUAGUCUGAUGUGAAAGCCCACGGCUCAACCGUGGAGGGUCAUUGGAAACUGGAAAACUUGAGUGCAGAAGAGGAAAGUGGAAUUCCAUGUGUAGCGGUGAAAUGCGCAGAGAUAUGGAGGAACACCAGUGGCGAAGGCGACUUUCUGGUCUGUAACUGACGCUGAUGUGCGAAAGCGUGGGGAUCAAACAGGAUUAGAUACCCUGGUAGUCCACGCCGUAAACGAUGAGUGCUAAGUGUUAGGGGGUUUCCGCCCCUUAGUGCUGCAGCUAACGCAUUAAGCACUCCGCCUGGGGAGUACGACCGCAAGGUUGAAACUCAAAGGAAUUGACGGGGACCCGCACAAGCGGUGGAGCAUGUGGUUUAAUUCGAAGCAACGCGAAGAACCUUACCAAAUCUUGACAUCCUUUGACAACUCUAGAGAUAGAGCCUUCCCCUUCGGGGGACAAAGUGACAGGUGGUGCAUGGUUGUCGUCAGCUCGUGUCGUGAGAUGUUGGGUUAAGUCCCGCAACGAGCGCAACCCUUAAGCUUAGUUGCCAUCAUUAAGUUGGGCACUCUAAGUUGACUGCCGGUGACAAACCGGAGGAAGGUGGGGAUGACGUCAAAUCAUCAUGCCCCUUAUGAUUUGGGCUACACACGUGCUACAAUGGACAAUACAAAGGGCAGCGAAACCGCGAGGUCAAGCAAAUCCCAUAAAGUUGUUCUCAGUUCGGAUUGUAGUCUGCAACUCGACUACAUGAAGCUGGAAUCGCUAGUAAUCGUAGAUCAGCAUGCUACGGUGAAUACGUUCCCGGGUCU
rnacentral:rRNA from 1 species